GGGGGGGAAAAAAAAAAAAAAAAAGCGUGCGGAGGAAAUGGUGGGAGCGGGGCUGCGGCAGGCGGCGGGGUGCCCUCGGAGCGGCGCGGCUGGGCUCGGCGCGGCCGGGCGGACAGCUCCCACCAUGGACGCCUAGCUGUGUCAUGAUGGGGGAAACGCAGAGAGUUUCAGUUGUGGUUUUCCAAGUAGGUCAAGAGGAGCAGCGUGGACACCUCCGACGAGCAAUUCUCUUCCCUCGCCUUGUAUUUUAGACGAGGUUAACUCAUGUCAGACACGUGGCACUGCAAGCAGCAGACAGACAAGUGUAAGCCACUCUGCAGCAGAUGUCAUCUCUGCUCCUAAAGAUAGUGGCAAAUUUGCUGUGGAUAAUGCAUUACUAAACAAGAUAAGGCUGGAGCUCGGCGAGUGUCAAAUCUUGCCUCCUCCCAAGCUCGGGAAAGCGAGUGAAUUUGUAUCAGGGGCUGCAGGGGCAGCGGUGCGGUGUACAAGCAGCCUACUGUACUGUCUCACUUAGAGGUCAUGUGCCCUAUUUUGAGAACUGAACCAAAGCGGAUGAAGUUUUGAGUCGCUUCCAACUAAGGCAGCUGGGCAUUUCCCACUGUGCUCCAGCUCCAGCCUCAGAAAGCAGGCAAGUACAUGGGCAAAUAUCUAAGUCCUUUAACUGGUAUUACGCACCGGAGAUUUACGUUUUAUGCCAUUUGCUCCACGUGCUUUUGAUUACUAUAGCUGACUAGGAGUUAACAUUUUGGGAAGACCGCUGCUAACUUGGGGAAAUGCUGGGUGUGAGAGGACAGGGGUUACUUUCCCUGUUCAACAGGUGUGAGUUUUCUGAGAGAGGACCCUACAGCCUCCUCCAACCCACCAGUCAAUGGCAUCCCACCUUCUUGAGCAAAAGUCUUGAGAAUGCUUUACAAGCCCUGGAAAAAUGCAAAGGACAGCUUCCAUCAUGAUACUCGUCCUGCAGAUGAGCUUCACUUUUCAAGUCCUGAGCAUUGCUCUUUUCAGUAAGAGGAAUGUAUAAAAAUAAUGAAAGGAAGCACAGGAAUAUUUAAGGAACUGAGAUACUGAGCUGGACUGCAGCAUUUACACUAAUUUUAUGUAAUCGUGACAAUAGUGAUUGUAACAUGAUUUAUAUCGUUAGGACAGAAAGGAUUAGGCUUUUUUUUUUUUUUCUGGGAGUCAUCAAAAAUGAAUAAAUGAACUAGUCAUUUUUAUGUCAAAGCCUAUAUUGAAGGGUGCCUAGUUCCAAGCAGGUGCUUCCUUGUAAACCCAGUGUGGAGAGUCCCGGGUACUGUCGCUCCUUGUUGAUCAUCAGUGGGCGUAGAUGCAGUAGAUGUAAAGGUCUAUGACUCACUGAGCUUUCUGAGGUGAAACCAGAAAGGAGUAGAUAAUUGCACCAUUAUGAAAAGAAUUAUCACAGUUUGAUUACAGAAGAAAAUCCUCUAAUGGUGCCAUGCCUCUUGGGAACUUGAAUAGGCAAUGGGACCAAAAGUGAGGAGUUUAUGUCAAGGAAUGGCAAAGUGUCCCCUUUAACUGAUCCAUUUUAAUCAAAUGUGUCAGAAAGAUGAUUUGCAGGACUGAAGAUGCAGUGGGUCAAAAUAGCCCAAGGCAAUUUGCCAUGCCAAUUCUGAUUAAAAUAAAGAAGAAGACAGAUCUGAGAGAGAAAGUGACACAGGCAAGACAUUUCUGAAUCCACAAAUUACUGGAAUACUUCCUAAAAGAUAUUAUGUGACCUCCUGUCUUCUUACAUAUGAAAAAGAUACUGAGUUCAAAAUUACCCCAUCUAGUUUGAUAAUCUGUAAAAUGAAAAUUGAGAAGGAGGGCUUACAGGUAAUUCAGGUAUUGAUUGAUAUGAGAACUUAAGUACUUAGAGCGGUAUGGAGAAGGCAUUUCCUUUUAAGGGAUACUAAAAAUUCAUUUGGUGUUAAAUAACCCAGAAAACAUGUAUAUAAAAUGUAGUAAGUAUUUGGGUAAUUGAGAAUUAAAAGCAGCUGUGGUAUAAAACAAUGGCCAUCUAUGACGUUUAUAAAGUGCAUGAAACUUGGCAGGAUGGGUUUCAUGCCAGUAAUGACAUUAUAAGGUGACUACAAUAUAGGCUGUAGAGGUAAAAUGGAGAAGGCAAUGGAUGCAGCAAUGGAGAACAAUGGUAUCUCCUCGUUGACAGCAGUAAGGUGCAGAGGGACACUCAUCCACCCAUCUCAGCUGUAUCAGACUUGAAUUACGCAAAUGAAAGCAUGUCAUUUUCUCUUUCCAUUUCAGUCUUCAUGGAGGAUUUAGUGAUGCUAUCUACUGAGUAAGGUGGGCAGCAGUACUUGGGGAGGCACUGCAAGUCUUUGGGAAAUGGACCAAUGAAAUAGGGGACAUGGAGCACUCCCUCAGGAGAGAGAAACUGUUUUUUUUUUUUUUUUUUUUUAAAUAGAGUUUGGUAUGGGGGGACCCAGCAUCCCGGCCGGGAGAGCAGGGCGAUGUCUGUGGUCUCCAGCUGGCUCCUCUCCCUGUGAGGCCUCUUCAUCUGCAGCAGGUAGAGAGUCAAUGGUGAGACACAGUUCUAGGGAGGCAGAGGGCUGAGAACAGUAGUAGUGUCUAAGUAGGAUAGAAAUGGAACUGGAGAAAAAAGGCAGCAGAAAUGCAUUUCAUUUGAAGCAUCUCCUUCAAUUUCCCCUUAGCUAGUUUGGGUUCUUGAAUUCAGAGGUAUGGUUUGGUGGGCAGAGACUGUUAGAACUCUUUGAAUUUUGCCUUAGAAAUUGUUACGGGGGGCAAUCAUUCACAACUCUGAUACUGAAAUAUAUUUCAAUGAAGUUGGGAAAGGGCUGGCAAAGAUGGAUUGAUCCCCAUAUGGAAAGGUGGUGUGAUAUGGUACACAUGAAGAGAGAGGAAGGUGUUUCUUGUCAGGUGUCUUCAUAGCCAGGAUUGAGGCCCUCCCAAAUUAUGUCCCAGUGACCUUGUUAAGAAAUAAGACAUAACACUCUUGUUGUGGACCAUUCAAGAGAGCUGUUCAGAGAAACCUUUGUUUGAAGUGACAGAUAAAACAGUCUGUCAAAACCAGAUAAAUGUAUCUCCUCCAUCCUCCUUUUCCUCUGCUUCCCCAGCUCCCUGCACCUCUGUGAAAUCUAAAAGGAAGAGGGAGGCUGCAGACACACAUGUUACAAAUCUUAUCCAAAGAUCAUCUGUAAAUGACAGUGUAUGCCUUCAAGUGUGUUCAGUGGUUAUUCCUUGUUCGAUGCAGCAGUGGCCACAUAAUUAUGUUGCUUCAGGGCUUGCUAGAAUGUAAUAUUAAAUCUGAUUCCAGUUAUUGCUGUGCAUCCCUGCUAUUUUUACUUGUUGGAUUUAAAGUUAAUAAUACUUUGACAUUAUCCUUGGUUCAGGUGAAUGGAUAUCUUCUUUUCAGAGACAACAGGUUUUCCAUGAGAGAAAAAACAGGAGAUUUGUCCCAUAGCUAAUGCCUAUAUAUUGAAAUGAGCACUGUUCAAAGUGUUGCACAUCACAGGAAAAAGCUUAAUAUCACAAAGGCAUCGAUAAAUCAAUCAAAGACACACUGGAAGUUACUGUACAGCAACAGUUCAGGGUCACAGAACACCUCAGUUUGUGCACAGAUCCCAUUGGGGUGCCUCAUGCUGUCAGGACUGUAGACACAUCUGGAAACAAGAAGCUUCAUUUUAUUAGGAUGGUAAUGAAAUGAAGGAACACUCUGCAAGUGUGAAACUGAGCAGGCUGACAGGCUUUUGGUUGGACUUGAAGUUUUAACAAAGCAUUAGGUAAAUCCCACAGCUCUGAUGAUUUUGGGGUGCAUUAUGAGGACAGGCAGUGACCCAUAAAAAUGUGUGGCCCAGAGAACUGGAAUAUACCACUUUUGUGACUUUUCCCCUCAACAUCGGUGUUAGUCCAUUGACACCAUAAUUUCCAUGUGUGAUGGGUAGUGGUAUGGAUAGUGGCAUUGUUGGUACCCAGCUGUGAUUUGGGAUGAUGUACUUUGGGGUCUCUCACUGUUUACCUGCAGAGACCAACAAGUGAUUUUGUGAUCAGUGACAUGACAGCUAAGCCCUGUCAUCUAGAGAAAUGCAGCCAAAAGCCACGGCCUCAGGAGGAGAGCUACCACAGGCUUAGCUUCUCACUAAACACCAAGUGAUUAGGCAGCAUCUCUGGCAUGGUGUGCAUGAGCUUCACUCACCCUUCAGGUUGCCAGCAGCUCUGGGCCUUUUGUUGCAGAUGGGCAGGAUUUCCUGCCUGGUGCAGGGGAUUUCUGCUGAGGAAACUCUCAGGCAGACGAUGUGCAUGCAUCUUCUUUGGAAAUGUCCCCUGAUGUGAGCUUCUCAAGUCUGAACAGCCACAGAGAUUACUCUGUCCCAGUGCUUGGCAGGCUUUCCUUGUGGUUUUCUGCUUUGUCUUUAACAACACGGUCAACUGAAGCUGCAUGGCCCUUGCAAGCCGUGUGUAAAUAUAUAUUCUUUGUGCACAGCUGGAUUAUAGCCACUGUAAAAGCAAGUAAAACAAGUUGGAGUACAUACAUCACAGAUAUGUGUAUUAACUUAUUUUACAGGUAUGUUAACUCAGGAGGUACCAUACUUUUGGUCCCUCACCUAGUUUCUGGAGAUAGGUUAGCUGCCCUGCACUGCUCGUUAUCAUGCAGUGCACACAUGCAAAGUUUGUUAUCUUCCUUGUAAAGAUAGUCUGUAAAGACCAAGAAGAGAAGAAAAAUUGGGCAAACUUCUGUCAGUUGCAGCGUAAGGGAGGAAACAUUUUUAAGCCAACUGGUAAUAUAGAUGGAAGAGCUAACCUGAGGCUGGGUAAUGCAUGCUGUUUCUAAAAUCAAGACAAAGUUCCCCAAAAUAAGCCAAACAAGCACGUAGAAAUCAUCUGGGUUUUCCCACAGCUUUGAGACUUGAAACUGAUGUAGGUGAAUAGGGGAAAUAAGUUGGCCGAGGAGAUAAAUAGCGACUUGGUAAGAGCUUCAGAUUGCAAGAAAGAGGCAUCUCACAAAAUUCAAAACCCAAUAUCCUGAAGAUAUAUAUUGACUGAAAGACACUAAUUUUUUAGGGUUGUAUGGCUGAUCAGCAAGCACACAACCACACAUACAUAGCCAAGCAGAAGAUAAACAUCCAAACUUGGCUAGAUGCUUACUUCACUCUCUCUAUAUAUGUACAAUUUCUUGAUAAGUUUAUGUAAUACUGUGAACCCAUAGAAAUAAAUAUGGGGACAGAACAGACAGCGAGAUUAACAACAACAACAAAAAAUUACUUUGGGUCCAGUAUUACAUCAGGUGUGGUAGUACUUUGGUAUAUUGUAGGAUAGAUUAAUAGUAUAAAAAUAUUAUGUGGAUUAUUAAUAAAUUUUACUGUUCUGCUACUGACUUUAGCUUUUAUUUUGUUGAACAUCAUUCCAUGUUUUAUAAAGGCUUAGUAAAUCUGUAUGUAUACAAUA